rnacentral:rRNA from 1 species
GACGAACGCUGGCGGCGUGCUUAACACAUGCAAGUCGAACGGAAAGGCCCUGCUUUUGUGGGGUGCUCGAGUGGCGAACGGGUGAGUAACACGUGAGUAACCUGCCCUUGACUUUGGGAUAACUUCAGGAAACUGGGGCUAAUACCGGAUAGGAGCUCCUGCUGCAUGGUGGGGGUUGGAAAGUUUCGGCGGUUGGGGAUGGACUCGCGGCUUAUCAGCUUGUUGGUGGGGUAGUGGCUUACCAAGGCUUUGACGGGUAGCCGGCCUGAGAGGGUGACCGGCCACAUUGGGACUGAGAUACGGCCCAGACUCCUACGGGAGGCAGCAGUGGGGAAUAUUGCACAAUGGGCGGAAGCCUGAUGCAGCAACGCCGCGUGCGGGAUGACGGCCUUCGGGUUGUAAACCGCUUUCGCCUGUGACGAGGCGUGAGUGACGGUAAUGGGUAAAGAAGCACCGGCUAACUACGUGCCAGCAGCCGCGGUGAUACGUAGGGUGCGAGCGUUGUCCGGAUUUAUUGGGCGUAAAGGGCUCGUAGGUGGUUGAUCGCGUCGGAAGUGUAAUCUUGGGGCUUAACCCUGAGCGUGCUUUCGAUACGGGUUGACUUGAGGAAGGUAGGGGAGAAUGGAAUUCCUGGUGGAGCGGUGGAAUGCGCAGAUAUCAGGAGGAACACCAGUGGCGAAGGCGGUUCUCUGGGCCUUUCCUGACGCUGAGGAGCGAAAGCGUGGGGAGCGAACAGGCUUAGAUACCCUGGUAGUCCACGCUGUAAACGGUGGGUACUAGGUGUGGGGUCCAUUCCACGGGUUCCGUGCCGUAGCUAACGCUUUAAGUACCCCGCCUGGGGAGUACGGCCGCAAGGCUAAAACUCAAAGGAAUUGACGGGGCCCCGCACAAGCGGCGGAGCAUGCGGAUUAAUUCGAUGCAACGCGUAGAACCUUACCUGGGUUUGACAUGGAUCGGGAGUGCUCAGAGAUGGGUGUGCCUCUUUUGGGGUCGGUUCACAGGUGGUGCAUGGCUGUCGUCAGCUCGUGUCGUGAGAUGUUGGGUUAAGUCCCGCAACGAGCGCAACCCUUGUUCACUGUUGCCAGCACGUUAUGGUGGGGACUCAGUGGAGACCGCCGGGGUCAACUCGGAGGAAGGUGGGGAUGACGUCAAGUCAUCAUGCCCCUUAUGUCCAGGGCUUCACGCAUGCUACAAUGGCUGGUACAGAGAGUGGCGAGCCUGUGAGGGUGAGCGAAUCUCGGAAAGCCGGUCUCAGUUCGGAUUGGGGUCUGCAACUCGACCUCAUGAAGUCGGAGUCGCUAGUAAUCGCAGAUCAGCAACGCUGCGGUGAAUACGUAUCGGGGGGC